rnacentral:rRNA from 1 species
AUUGAACGCUGGCGGCAUGCUUUACACAUGCAAGUCGAACGGUAACAGGCCUUCGGGUGCUGACGAGUGGCGAACGGGUGAGUAAUGCAUCGGAACGUACCCAGAGGUGGGGGAUAACGCAGCGAAAGCUGUGCUAAUACCGCAUGUGAUCUGAGGAUGAAAGCGGGGGACCGAGCAGCAAUGUUUGGCCUCGCGCCUUUGGAGCGGCCGAUGUCGGAUUAGCUAGUUGGUGGGGUAAAGGCCUACCAAGGCGACGAUCCGUAGCUGGUCUGAGAGGACGACCAGCGACACUGGGACUGAGACACGGCCCAGACUCCUGCGGGAGGCAGCAGUGGGGAAUUUUAGACAAUGGGGGCAAGCCUGAUCCAGCAAGGCCGCGUGCGGGAAGAAGGCCUUCGGGUUGUAAACCGCUUUUGGCAGGAACGAAACGGUGUCCGCUAAUACCGGGCGCUAAUGACGGUACCUGCAGAAUAAGCACCGGCUAACUACGUG